GAAAGUCGGGACUAGUGAUCCGGCGGUGGCUUGUGGAAGCGCCGUCGCUCAACGGAUAAAAGGUACCCCGGGGAUAACAGGCUGAUCUUCCCCAAGAGUCCAUAUCGACGGGAUGGUUUGGCACCUCGAUGUCGGCUCGUCGCAUCCUGGGGCUGGAGUCGGUCCCAAGGGUUGGGCUGUUCGCCCAUUAAAGCGGUACGCGAGCUGGGUUUAGAACGUCGUGAGACAGUUCGGUCCCUAUCCGCUGUGCGCGUAGGAGUCUUGAGAAGGGCUGUCCCUAGUACGAGAGGACCGGGACGGACGAACCUCUGGUGUGCCAGUUGUUCUGCCAAGGGCAUGGCUGGUUGGCUACGUUCGGGAGGGAUAACCGCUGAAAGCAUCUAAGCGGGAAGCCUGCUUCGAGAUGAGGACUCCCACCCCCUUGAGGGGUUAAGGCUCCCAGUAGACGACUGGGUUGAUAGGCCGGAUCUGGAAGCACCGUGAGGUGUGGAGGUGACCGGUACUAAUAGGCCGAGGGCUUGUCCUCAGUUG
rnacentral:rRNA from 1 species